rnacentral:rRNA from 1 species
GACGAACGCUGGCGGCGUGCCUAAUACAUGCAAGUCGAGCGAAGCGGCGGAUGGGUGAGUAACGCGUGGGUGACCUGUCCUUAAGUCUGGGAUACCAUUUGGCAACAGAUGCUAAUACCGGAUACUAAAGGAUGGACAUGCGAUGCAUUAGCUAGUUGGUAAGGUAACGGCUUACCAAGGCGAUGAUGCAUAGCCGGGUUGAGAGGAUGAUCGGCCACAUUGGGACUGAGACACGGCCCAAACUCCUACGGGAGGCAGCAGUAGGGAAUCUUCCACAAUGGACGAAAGUCUGAUGGAGCAAUGCCGCGUGAGUGAAGAAGGUUUUAGGAUCGUAAAGCUCUGUUGGUGGGGAAGCGGUAAUCAACCAGAAAGUAACGGCUAACUACGUGCCAGCAGCCGCGGUAAUUC